UACGAAGGGGGCUAGCGUUGCUCGGGAUCACUGGGCGUAAAGCGCACGUAGGCGGAUCUUUAAGUCAGGGGUGAAAUCCUGGAGCUCAACUCCAGAACUGCCUUUGAUACUGGGGAUCUCGAGUCCGGGAGAGGUGAGUGGAACUGCGAGUGUAGAGGUGAAAUUCGUAGAUAUUCGCAAGAACACCAGUGGCGAAGGCGGCUCACUGGCCCGGUACUGACGCUGAGGUGCGAAAGCGUGGGGAGCAAACAGG
rnacentral:rRNA from 1 species